GGCGGCGUGCCUAACACAUGCAAGUCGAACGGACGAAAGAAGCUGCUCUGGCGUUAGUGGCGGACGGGUGAGUAACACGUGAGUAACCUGCCUUCAGAGGGGAAUAAUGUCUGGAAACGGACACUAAUACCGCAUAAUGUAUUUUAACCGCAUGAUUGAGAUACCAAAGGAGCAAUCCGCUGAAAGAUGGACUCGCGUCUGAUUAGCCAGUUGGCGGGUAACGGCCCACCAAAGCGACGAUCAGUAGCCGGACUGAGAGGUUGAACGGCCACAUUGGGACUGAGACACGGCCCAGACUCCUACGGGAGGCAGCAGUGGGGGAUAUUGCACAAUGGGCGCAAGCCUGAUGCAGCAAAACCGCCGCGUGCAGGAAGACGGUCUUCGGAUUGUAAACUGUUGUCCUCUGUGACGAUAAUGACGGUAGCAGAGGAGGAAGCCACGGCUAACUACGUGCCAGCAGCCGC
rnacentral:rRNA from 1 species